rnacentral:sRNA from 1 species
CAAAGAACAUGAUUUUGGUCUAGGGGCUCCAGUUUCUGAAGCUGAAAACUACCAGAAUACUCUCCAGCUAGAACGAGAAGUGAGAAACCAAGAUAGAUUCAUCUCGACACUGAAAUUACAGCUUGAUGACGAACGUAUGGAGCAAAUGUCAAAUAUGACUUUGAUGAAGGAAACCAUAAGCACUGUGGAAAAAGAAAUGAAAUCACUAGCAAGAAAGGCAAUGGAUACCGAAAGUGAACUUGGCAGACAAAAAGCAGAGAAUAAUUCUUUGAGACUUUUGUAUGAAAACACAGAAAAAGAUCUUUCUGAUACUCAGCGACACCUUGCUAAGAAAAAAUAUGAGUUACAGCUUACUCAGGAGAAAAUUAUGUGCUUGGAUGAAAAAAUUGAUAAUUUUACAAGGCAAAAUAUUGCACAGCGAGAAGAAAUCAGCAUCCUUGGUGGAACCCUCAAUGAUCUGGCUAAAGAAAAGGAAUGCCUGCAAGCAUGUUUGGAUAAAAAAUCUGAGAAUAUUGCAUCCCUUGGAGAGAGUUUGGCAAUGAAAGAAAAGACCAUUUCAGGCAUGAAGAAUAUCAUUGCUGAGAUGGAACAGGCAUCAAGACAGUCUACUGAGGCCCUAAUUAUGUGUGAACAAGACAUUUCCAGAAUGCGUCGGCAAUUGGAUGAGACAAAUGAUGAGUUGGCCCAGAUUGCCAGGGAAAGAGAUAUCUUGGCUCAUGACAAUGACAAUCUCCAGGAACAGUUUGCCAAAGCUAAACAAGAAAACCAGGCACUGUCCAAAAAAUUGAAUGACACUCAUAAUGAACUUAAUGACAUAAAACAGAAGGUUCAAGAUACUAAUU